rnacentral:rRNA from 1 species
AUGGUCGAAGGCUCAGAGACGAACAUCUCCAACCUUAAGUUCCUCCUCCUCUGCUUCCAAAAAAUGUCUGGCCUCAAGAUCAACUUCGACAAGAGUGACGUGAUGGUGAUGGGCUACCCUCUGGAGGACUUCGAAAGCAUUGCCAACCAACUGAACUGCCGUCUAGGCUCCUUCCCCACGACCUACUUGGGGACGCCCAUUAGUGACUCUCGGCUUACCGUCGCGGACUUGCACCCGGCCGUGGCGAAGCUACAAAUGCGUAUUGAGCCCUGGUAGGGUAGGUGGCUCUCGAAGGCGGCCCGGACGAUCCUCAUUAACUCCUCCCUCUCCAGCCUCGUCUUAUUCCUCAUGAGCUUCUACAGCCUUCACGAGACUCUGCACCAUGAGAUCGCCAAAGUCCAGUCUCGGUUCUACUGGGCAGGCGAUAAUAAUAAACAGAAAUACCAUAUGGUUCGCUGGCCUGACAUUUGCAAGCCUCGGGAGAAAGGAGGACUCGGUAUCAUGUGCUCUAAGUGCAUGAACAUUGCCCUCCUGUCCCACAGGCUCUGGCGCAUAUCGCAAGGGCAGGGCGGCCUCUAG